UGCUCCUGGCUCCUUGCACACAUGCCCC
rnacentral:piRNA from 1 species